rnacentral:lncRNA from 1 species
CUGCUCUCCCCUGCUGUUGUGGCACACUUGCAUAUUAACCCUCGGAUCUUUUCCCAAUUCUCUGGCACUUUGCCGCUGGGCAAUAUCUUCGCUCUUACUUGGUUAACCAUUGGGCACUUGCCUAUCUUUAAUUGGGUGCUGGUCCAUCUUUAAGCGGGCACUUGCCUGUCUUUAUCACGCAUGAUACUGGAUUAUAGUGCUCUUGCUAUAAUCGUGACACUUGUCACUGGUAGACCCACUUGAGUUACGAUUGCACCGAUUGGUGAUAAUUCAUGUUGAUGACUAUAUCUUCGGACAGUACAGACAUCUGUACGGGUCAUCCUAACGCAGAGGCAUUUAGUCUCUUCUCAUUCACUAAUCGGUAGUUUUUACUACCACCUAAACAGUGGAAGUGGAUACAACAAGUGGUAUUGAGAUGUUCGGUCUCGACCAGCUCUUCGUUAGCCAAUGUCAGAGGCUUACAGUGUUGGAGCGCUCGUGGCUGCUCUUCAGGGUAAGUGAAAGAUCGUAACCAUCUGUAUUGUUUUGUCCUUGGUUGCAUUGCCCAUUGUGAUCGCAGAGGUUAGAACGGGUGCGGCGGACCCAACCGAGGUAGAGCCGCCUCCUCAAGCCCUUCCCUUAUCCACGGUAGUGACCACACCGUUAUUACAUAAGGGUAGGCCCUUCUUAUUUUAGCUAAAAUGUUUAACUCCGCUCCGUUAAAUCUGGGCGGCGACCAUAAUGGUGUAGACAUGGCAUCGGGCGCACUUGAUGCUCACUCCACUUUGCCUGCCUACACUGUUGCGGGACUUGUUUCUGACCCCGGUGCACCUAGUACUUCUAGAGGUCCGGGCGGCCCUAUUGAGGUCCCUGUUGCUGUUCGCGAACCUGAUGUGUGAACGCCAUUCUCAACUUUUGCCGCAGCACCUUUGUUGCAUAUGCCCACUGGGGCUGCUGAGAAUGUUCAUUUGAGGCCUGGUGAUGAACGUCUCAACUCCUUGCCUUCUUUGGCCCCUUUCGCUCUGCACCACCCGCGCAAUACCCCCGUCAAUCACCCCAAUGUCUCGCCUGUUAUACCAGAGACUCAGACUACAGAUGCAGACCGCCGUGCAGAGGCUGCACGGGUGUUAGUGGCGGAAGCGGCUGCUGCUGCUGAGGCUGUGGUUGCGGCGGCAGCUGCAGCCGAGCCAGAGCCCUUGCCUUCGUUUCGGCCUAUUCCUUCUGCCGACCUCCCUCGGGUUAGUUUACCGACUCCUGUUUUGCAACUAGAUACCAAGCUUGAUGCGAAGCACACUGCUGCCCACGUAAAGGUGAUAUUUCACGACGCGUCUUUGUUUUUCGAAAUCGUGCCCUGGGGUAGGGACCAUUGGUCAUGCUGCCUGUUUUUGUCGCAAGCGCUCCAUGGUGUUGCAAAAACGUGGUAUGAUGAGUGGUCUCUAUCGCAGCGUGAGCUUACUGCUCAGCUUGUUCUGGAUAAUCUGCGCACGCGUUUUGCUCCUCAGGUUAUCUAUGUAGAACAAGAAGCACGAUGUAGGCUUUCUGACAAAUCUUUUGCGAUGCGUGCUGGUGAAAGUGUACCAGCUUACCUAUCGCGUCUUGAGGCCGUUUUCCAAGACAUACCCACGAUCACUCCUAAUGAGCGUAUGUUUUGGUUUUUCGAAGGCCUUUCUUCUUCCCUGCAGCCCCAUUGCGCCACAGACAUCUAUGGAAAGCCGUUUGCCUCUUAUGACGCCCUGGUACAGCAUGUCUUGGGCCAGGAAGUGUGCACCCUGUCUGAACGAAAAGUUCGUUCUGCUCUUCGUUCGAAUUCCGUUGCUUUGCAGGAAUUCGACGGAGACCAGCCCCCGUUCAAGAGGGCGUGCAUGGAUUCCGGCCCUCGCCUAGUUGCAGCUGUUGUGGGGACCUCCCGGCAGCUGGGACACAGAAGCGUUCCUGGGUGAAGUAGUCACAGGGGCAGAACGGGUCCACAUGGUGGGCGGGGUGACAGGGUGCACGGUACUGACCACCCUAACGAAUCCGCCGAUGGAGAGCCCGUCGUUCUGUUGUCUAAAGCCUGCAAGUUGACCAAGUGGGUCAACCAGUUCGGCCGUAGGUUGACACACGGGGAGGUGGGAAUUCUCCGACGAUGCACGGGCGGUAAGGCCGUCUGUUUUUGCUGUGAGGUGGCUAGUCCUGACCACCUCUACGACGACUGCCCCCCUCUCAAAAGGUUGUGUGAAGCAGGGCUGUACUAGGAAUUUGCUCAGGGCGGUAUUGAGGGAUAUUACCCUGAGCUUCCUUUUGCGGGGAUUCGUUCUUUGGUCCGCGUGGUUAGACCCGCUGCAUUGGCAGAGUUCAAGAGUGCCGGUGGAUGCCGUUUUUCUUUCGACACCGUUGCUGUCAAACCAGGCUUUGACUCGGAAUGUAACAUAACGGUUCCUCGUGGUCGCUCUCUCUGCUCGGUCGAUGUUGGUGGUCAUACUGUGCUUUUUGUCCCUGCAUCCCUCACUCAAUUGCGUGUUUCGCUUCGGCACUACCUUGCAUGCAAGCACCGCCAUCCUGAUACCGCGGCCGGCAUUUUGCUACCUUCACAUAUCGCUCGGCGGGCUUCAAUGUUGCUAGCAGGUAUGUGCCGAGUGCUUACGCUUCCUGCGAAGUCCAUCCUUUUCAACGGCCUUUCACUUGAGGGUAAAACAGUAGAGCUUCCUGGUAUUCCGUAUCCUGCUGAGUUGUGGUAUGAUGCACCUUCACCUUGUCUCUCUGUUGCCCGGGAGCCCUUUGCUUCUCCUCUUUGCGCAGUUGCCUCCGGUUCUGUGGACACACGGGUUGCUUUGCCUCUGGUAUCCCUGUGGACUGGUGGCCAAACGUUUUCGGCAUUGGUGGACACAGGCGCUACUCACGACUUUAUUAGUGAGUCCCUUGUUCAACGGCUACACCUCCCGGUCCACUCUUCGGACUGGUCCCAUGUUUCGCUCGCUGAUGGAGGUAGGCAAGCUAUCAUGGGUCAGGUGUCGUUUCGUGUGGCAGUCGGGUCUUUGUACCUAACCGUCUCGCCAUACGUUUUGCCGUCCUUGACUGAUCCUGCUGCUCCUUUUAUUCUGGGGUCUGAUACUUUGUGUAAGCACUCUGCAUCCCUGGAUUUUCAGAACAAUAUUUUGCGUUUGUCAAAGGGUACUGUUCGGUACUCAAUUCCUUGGUGCGCGUCUUCUAAUGAUUCAGGUGACAGUGGUGCUGCCUCGUCAGCACCCCUUGUUAAUUUUGCGGCUGCAGCCAUGUGUGUGCACGCCACCCCUGAGUCUAUUGGUCGUAAGGCUGCUAUGCAUCUUAUUCGCAAGGGGGCACAUGCUUUGCUGGUUCACCCUUCGGUUAGCCUUAACGCCACUUCUGUGAUUCCUCCCACUCAGGACCCUGAAGUUUCCGCACUGCUUGAGGAAUACGCUGAUGUUUUCCGGGAAAUCCCGGGUAUUCCUCCAGUCCGUCUAGUGGAUCACACAAUUCCGUUGGUGCCUGACGCCCAACCCGUCGCACGCCCUAUGUACUGACUUAGCCCUCUUGAGCUUGAUGAGGUCAAACGGCAGGUUACUGAGCUGCUUGCUAAAGGCAUGAUUCGUCCGAGUACGUCUCCCUUCUCUGCCCCGAUCUUGUUUAUGGGUAAGAAGGACGGUUCCCUACACAUGUGCAUAGAUUACCGUGGAUUGAAUUCCAUGACCACUAAGAAUCGGUACCCUCUUCCGUGUGUAGACGAUUUGCUCGAUAAGCUUCGCGGGUCUGCUUACUUUAGCUCUAUAGAGCUGCAGCAGGGAUAUAACCAGAUUCGCAUUGCUGAGUCUGACAUUCCUAAAACCGCUUUCCGCACUCCUUUCGGUCACUUUGAGUACAUGGUUUUGAGCUUCGGCCUUGUUAACACUCCUGCUACUUUUCAAGCCGUAAUUGACCGUAUGUUCAGGCCGUACAUUGAUAAGUUUGUCGUGUGCUACCUGGACGAUAUCCUCAUCUAUUCCAAAACGAAGGAAGAGCACCUCCAACAUCUUCGUUUGGUGCUCAACGUUUUGCGGCGGGUACAGCUUUAUGCCAAGCAGUCCAAGUGCCACUGGGCGAAGUCCGAAGUUGAGUAUCUGGGCCAUGUGGUUUCCGUUGACGGGGUUCGCAUGGACCCUAAGAAGACUGCUGCGGUGCAUGACUGGCCUGUCCCGAUGUCAUUGCUGGAGCUGCAAAAGUUCCUAGGGCUUACCAAUUACUUUCACAAGUUUAUAGCCAAUUACUCGUCUCUCACCGCACCGUUGAUGAGUCUUACGCGCCAGGGUGCAUUUUCUUCCGCUGACAUUUGGACUGCUGAAUGUCAGGCGUCUUUUGAGGCUAUACAACAUGCUGUUGCGGACGAUAUAGUGCUGCGUUUUCCCAAUUACUCUCAGCCUUUCCGUGUUGAGCUUAUUUCCGAUGCCUCGCUGCAUGGUACGGGGGCAGUUUUGCUUCAGAACGGUCAUCCUGUCGCGUUUUCCAGCAAGAAGUUUUCUGCUGCCGAACACGGCUACACCACGGGUGAACAAGAGCUACUAGCCGUUGUUCACACCUUGCGUGAAUGGCGCUGCUAUCUUGAGGGACGCGUCCCUCAAUGUAUGCCCGUUCGUUGUCAAAACUGACCACAAGCCCCUAACCUUCCUGCAGGGUGUUCCGACUCUUAACCGCCGCCAGGCGCGACUCUUAACCGCCGCCAGGCGCGGUGGUUAGAAUAUAUGCAGCAUUUUAACUUCACUUGGGAACAUGUGUCUGGUUCCGUUAAUGUUGCUGAUGCUUUGAGUCGCCAUCCUUCCUUGCACUCUGUCGUCCUGUUGGUUGUGACUCGACGUCAGUCUGUGGCUGCCGAUUUGACGAUUUCUGCUUUUGCCAAACGAAUCGUGGACGGAUACAAAACCGACCCUUGGUUCAACGAUCCCAAUAACGUCGAGCAGUUGACCAGGGUCUCUGGGUUCGCACUGAUGGUGAUCAACGUCAAACAGUUGUCCCUAAUGAUGAUUUGCUUCACCAUGAUAUCCUUUCCCGUGUGCAUCAGGAUCCACUUUCUGGUCAUGUGGGUUCUACUCGCCUUAUUGAGUUGCUACGUUGCAACUUCUGGUGGCCACGGAUGGCUCGUGAUGCUGCUUCCUUUGUUGAGCAGUGUGAUGUUUGCCAACGGCAGAAGCCAAAAUCUGGUAAGCAAUCGGGCCUGCUUUAGCCCUUGCCGAUUCCAGACUCGCCUUGGGAGAGUGUGUUGCUUGACUAUGUCGUCGCACUUCCUCUGUCCGAGGGGGGAUACGACGCUGUCCUCAUCAUUGUUGACCGCUUGACCAAGAUGGUACAUUUGGUACCGACCACCACGACAGUUACCGUGGAGCAAACCGCUCGACUGUUCUUUGAUAACGUGGUGUGUCUGCAUGGUGUUCCCAAACAGAUUAUUUCUGAUAGAGGACCUCAGUUUGGUGCCAAGUUUUGGGGAGCCCUUGGCACUUUGGCUAAUUUCUGAGUAAGCCUUUCUACUGCCUAUCAUCCACAAACUGACGGUCAGACUGAGCGAAUGAAUCGCACUUUGGGUGAUAUGCUGCGAACCUACACUGGCAACAACCCUCGUGUUUGGGACACCUAUCUUUCAGCUGCAGAAUUCGCGAUGAACAACGCUGUCAAUCGCUCUACGGGACAAUCUCCUUCUUAAAUUACGGGUUCCACCCAGCUACUCCUGUCUCACGUGAACUUGAUGUUCCGGUCCCGGCAGCCAAAUCCUUUAUUAAGUCGUACAUUGCUCGUAUUGCAGAAGCGAAGCAGUGUCUGGAAAAGGCCAUAGACCAUACAACUAACUAUUACAACCACGGCAGAGCCGAAGUUACCUUCAAGGAAGGCGACUUAGUGCUUUUAAGUACGAAAAAUCUGCGGCAGUUAGCCGUCGGACCUCGUAAAUUAUUGCCGUGGUGGGUGGGUCCUUACCCUGUGAAUUGCAUGGUUGGCAAAGCAGCGGCCGAGCUUGUCCUACCGUCUGAUAUGCGCAUCCACCCCACCUUCCACGUGAUGUUGUUUCGGCCUUACAAGGCGCCAGCGGAUGCGUUGGAUUCUUCAACUGUUCGCGACAGUUCUUCUGCACUUUCUAGUCCUGCAGGACCGCCACCGGUUCAGUGGCUGAAGAGCGAUCCACUUUACUCGGUCGAGCACAUACUGGAUUAUCGUGCCCGCCGCCUAGGAAGACGCCAUAAGGGGCUGGUGCACGAGUACCUCGUCAAAUGGACCGGGUAUUCCAAUGAACAUAAUAGCUGGGAGCCAGAGAAAAACUUUACGCCCGACCUUCACCCCGAACUUCAAGCAGUGAAGGCUCAUGCCACUAACGCUGCGAGGAUGCUGCAUCCUGAGGGGGGAUAGUUGUUGUGGCACACUUGCAUAUUAACCCUCGGAUCUUUCCCCAAUUCUCUGGCACUUUGCCGCUGGGCAAUAUCUUCACUCUUACUUGGUUAACCAUUGGGCACUUGCCUAUCUUUAAUUGGGCGCUGGUCCAUCUUUAAGCGGGCACUUGCCUGUCUUUAUCACGCAUGAUACUGGAUUAUAGCGCUCUUGCUAUAAUCGUGACACUUGUCACUGGUAGACCCACUUGGGUUACGAUUGCACCGAUUGGUGAUAAUUCACGUUGACGACUAUAUCUUCGGACCGUACAGACUUCUGUACGGGUCAUCCUAACGCAGAGGCAUUUAGCCUCUUCUCAUUCACUAAUCGGUAGUUUUCACAACCACCUAAACAGUGGAAGUGGAUACAACACCUGCUAGAGGUGCACCCAAAGCCAUUCACCCCAUCCGACUUCAGAGUGUACUCUUUGAGUUUGGCAACUCACCACCAGCAUCCAACCAAAUCUAGCGGAUCAACGGUGUGUCAACUUAGUUCCUGGUGAGCUCGCAAGUUGAUUUUAUCACGUCCUACACCGUCCAUAAGAUGGGGGGCCACCUCCCAUUUCAUCACCUCUCAAACACCCCGAGAGGUCGGCAGACGGAUUUGAACUCGGACACGCUGGGACGUGACGGGAGCAGAAGCCAGGCCUUAACCUCUGCCAGCCGCCUGCCGUUGAUGUUGUUACAGGGUGGUUAAGCUUCACCAGUAGCCUCCUUCCCGUGGCAAUUCCCUGCUCUCCCCUGCUCGAGGGGCACCCUAAUCCAUUCACCCCAUCCGACUUCAGAGUGUUCUCUUUGAGUUUGGCAACUCACCACCAGCAUCCAACCAAAUCUAGCGGAUCAAUGGCGCCUCAACUUAGUUCCUGGUCAGCUCACAAGUUGAUUUUAACACAUCCUACACCGUCCAUAAGAUGGGGGGCCAUGGAUCCGGAAGGUGGUGCCACCUCCCAUUUCACCACCUCUCAAACACCCGAGAGGACGGUAGACGGAUUUGAACCCAGAUCGGCCAGGAGCAGAAGUCAGGCCUUAACCUCUGCCAGCAUCCUGCUGCAACAAACCUUGCCUUAAAUCACUCAAGCUCCUGUAUAUGUGUGUAUGU